AGCGUAUGGAUAAACCAGUGCAAUUCAAGGGUCUGUGGAUCCUGGUGAACCAUGCUGGCAUUUCGCCUUCAGAGAGGUGGAAUUUGCAAGUCUAGACAACUACAAGAAUGUGGCAGAGAUCAACCUGUGGAGCACCAUAAGAAUGACAAAUUCUUUCCUGCCUUCAUUCCCAGAGCUAAAGAUCAUCAGUACAUGGAGGUUGCCUGGGAUCCAGAACCCAGAAUGAUUUCACUGAACUGCAGUUUAUGCAGUGUUGUAAUGAUUUCUGCCCCCUGCACUGUGAAAUAGGGAAGAAAUCUCAGUUGCAUUUGACAGUAAUCUUCAAAGCUGGAGGAUGGAGGAGCCAGAAGGAAGUUCAGUGAAAUCCCCUGGAAGUCCAUGCUCAUGGCUGCUGUGGUAUCCUACAAGGAGUUAGACUGCCAAAGGUGCUUAUGACUUUUUGUUGUUGUUUCCCCCAUCAAGGGCCAGCUGCUGAGGCUGUGGCAGUGUCCUGCUUUUUUCUGCAUGUUUCUCACAAAACUUUGGAAGACAGCAAUAAUCCAGGUCCUUGGUGCAUCCUUUAGCCUUUGUAAAGU
rnacentral:lncRNA from 1 species